AUUGAACGCUGGCGGCAUGCUUUACACAUGCAAGUCGAACGGUAACAGGCCGCAAGGUGCUGACGAGUGGCGAACGGGUGAGUAAUGCAUCGGAACGUGCCCAGUCGUGGGGGAUAAAGCAGCGAAAGCUGUGCUAAUACCGCAUACGACCUAUGGAUGAAAGCGGGGGACCGUAAGGCCUCGCGCGAUUGGAGCGGCCGAUGUCAGAUUAGCUAGUUGGUGGGGUAAAGGCCCACCAAGGCGACGAUCUGUAGCUGGGCUGAGAGGACGACCAGCCACACUGGGACUGAGACACGGCCCAGACUCCUACGGGAGGCAGCAGUGGGGAAUUUUGGACAAUGGGCGCAAGCCUGAUCCAGCAAUGCCGCGUGCAGGAAGAAGGCCUUCGGGUUGUAAACUGCUUUUGUACGGAACGAAACGGUCUGGGUUAAUACCCUGGGCUAAUGACGGUACCGUAAGAAUAAGCACCGGCUAACUACGUGCCAGCAGCCGCAGUAAUAC
rnacentral:rRNA from 1 species